rnacentral:rRNA from 1 species
AACGAACGCUGGCGGCAGGCCUAACACAUGCAAGUCGAGCGAGGACUUCGGUUCUAGCGGCGGACGGGUGAGUAACGCGUGGGAAUGUGCCCUUCUCUACGGAAUAGCCCUGGGAAACUGGGAGUAAUACCGUAUACGCCCUAUUGGGGAAAGAUUUAUCGGAGAAGGAUCAGCCCGCGUUGGAUUAGGUAGUUGGUGGGGUAAUGGCCUACCAAGCCGACGAUCCAUAGCUGGUUUGAGAGGAUGAUCAGCCACACUGGGACUAAGACACGGCCCAGACUCCUACGGGAGGCAGCAGUGGGGAAUCUUAGACAAUGGGGGCAACCCUGAUCUAGCAAUGCCGCGUGAGUGAUGAAGGCCUUAGGGUUGUAAAGCUCUUUCAGCUGGGAAGAUAAUGACGGUACCAGCAGAAGAAGCCCCGGCUAACUCCGUG